GAUGAAGAACGCAGCGAAAUGCGAUAAGUAAUGUGAAUUGCAGAAUUCAGUGAAUCAUCGAAUCUUUGAACGCACAUUGCGCCCGCCAGUAUUCUGGCGGGCAUGCCUGUUCGAGCGUCAUUACAACCCUCAGGCCCCCGGGCCUGGCGUUGGGGAUCGGCGGAAGCCCCCUGCGGGCACAACGCCGUCCCCCAAAUACAGUGGCGGUCCCGCCGCAGCUUCCAUUGCGUAGUAGCUAACACCUCGCAACUGGAGAGCGGCGCGGCCACGCCGUAAAACACCCAACUUCUGAAUGUUGACCUCGAAUCAGGUAGGAAUACCCGCUGAACUUAAGCAUAUCAAUGGAGGA
rnacentral:misc_RNA from 1 species